UGAACGCUAGCUACAGGCUUAACACAUGCAAGUCGAGGGGCAGCAUUUUAGUUUGCUUGCAAACUGAAGAUGGCGACCGGCGCACGGGUGAGUAACACGUAUCCAACCUGCCGAUAACUCCGGAAUAGCCUUUCGAAAGAAAGAUUAAUACCGGAUAGCAUACGAAUAUCGCAUGAUAUUUUUAUUAAAGAAUUUCGGUUAUCGAUGGGGAUGCGUUCCAUUAGUUUGUUGGCGGGGUAACGGCCCACCAAGACUACGAUGGAUAGGGGUUCUGAGAGGAAGGUCCCCCACAUUGGAACUGAGACACGGUCCAAACUCCUACGGGAGGCAGCAGUGAGGAAUAUUGGUCAAUGGGCGAGAGCCUGAACCAGCCAAGUAGCGUGAAGGAUGAAGGCUCUAUGGGUCGUAAACUUCUUUUAUAUGGGAAUAAAGUUUUCCACGUGUGGAAUUUUGUAUGUACCAUAUGAAUAAGGAUCGGCUAACUCCGUGCCAGCAGCCGCGGUAAUACGGAGGAUCCGAGCGUUAUCCGGAUUUAUUGGGUUUAAAGGGAGCGUAGGUGGAUUGUUAAGUCAGUUGUGAAAGUUUGCGGCUCAACCGUAAAAUUGCAGUUGAAACUGGCAGUCUUGAGUACAGUAGAGGUGGGCGGAAUUCGUGGUGUAGCGGUGAAAUGCUUAGAUAUCACGAAGAACUCCGAUUGCGAAGGCAGCUCACUAGACUGUCACUGACACUGAUGCUCGAAAGUGUGGGUAUCAAACAGGAUUAGAUACCCUGGUAGUCCACACAGUAAACGAUGAAUACUCGCUGUUUGCGAUAUACAGUAAGCGGCCAAGCGAAAGCAUUAAGUAUUCCACCUGGGGAGUACGCCGGCAACGGUGAAACUCAAAGGAAUUGACGGGGGCCCGCACAAGCGGAGGAACAUGUGGUUUAAUUCGAUGAUACGCGAGGAACCUUACCCGGGCUUAAAUUGCAACAGAAUAUAUUGGAAACAGUAUAGCCGUAAGGCUGUUGUGAAGGUGCUGCAUGGUUGUCGUCAGCUCGUGCCGUGAGGUGUCGGCUUAAGUGCCAUAACGAGCGCAACCCUUAUCUUUAGUUACUAACAGGUUAUGCUGAGGACUCUAGAGAGACUGCCGUCGUAAGAUGUGAGGAAGGUGGGGAUGACGUCAAAUCAGCACGGCCCUUACGUCCGGGGCUACACACGUGUUACAAUGGGGGGUACAGAAGGCGGCUACCUGGUGACAGGAUGCUAAUCCCAAAAACCUCUCUCAGUUCGGAUCGAAGUCUGCAACCCGACUUCGUGAAGCUGGAUUCGCUAGUAAUCGCGCAUCAGCCAUGGCGCGGUGAAUACGUUCCCGGGCCUUGUACACACCGCCCGUCAAGCCAUGAAAGCCGGGGGUACCUGAAGUACGUAACCGCAAGGAGCGUCCUAGGGUAAAACUGGUAAUUGGGGC
rnacentral:rRNA from 1 species